rnacentral:rRNA from 1 species
CAGUAGCGGCGAGCGAACGGGGAGCAGCCCAGAGCCUGAAUCAGUGUGUGUGUUAGUGGAAGCGUCUGGAAAGGCGCGCGAUACAGGGUGACAGCCCCGUACACAAAAAUGCACAUAUUGUGAGCUCGAUGAGUAGGGCGGGACACGUGGUAUCCUGUCUGAAUAUGGGGGGCCCAUCCUCCAAGGCUAAAUACUCCUGACUGACCGAUAGUGAACCAGUACCGUGAGGGAAAGGCGAAAAGAACCCCGGCGAGGGGAGUGAAAAAGAACCUGAAACCGUGUACGUACAAGCAGUGGGAGCACGCUUAGGCGUGUGACUGCGUACCUUUUGUAUAAUGGGUCAGCGACUUAUAUUCUGUAGCAAGGUUAACCGAAUAGGGGAGCCGAAGGGAAACCGAGUCUUAACUGGGCGUUAAGUUGCAGGGUAUAGACCCGAAACCCGGUGAUCUAGCCAUGGGCAGGUUGAAGGUUGGGUAACACUAACUGGAGGACCGAACCGACUAAUGUUGAAAAAUUAGCGGAUGACUUGUGGCUGGGGGUGAAAGGCCAAUCAAACCGGGAGAUAGCUGGUUCUCCCCGAAAGCUAUUUAGGUAGCGCCUCGUGAAUUCAUCUCCGGGGGUAGAGCACUGUUUCGGCAAGGGGGUCAUCCCGACUUACCAACCCGAUGCAAACUGCGAAUACCGGAGAAUGUUAUCACGGGAGACACACGGCGGGUGCUAACGUCCGUCGUGAAGAGGGAAACAACCCAGACCGCCAGCUAAGGUCCCAAAGUCAUGGUUAAGUGGGAAACGAUGUGGGAAGGCCCAGACAGCCAGGAUGUUGGCUUAGAAGCAGCCAUCAUUUAAAGAAAGCGUAAUAGCUCACUGGUCGAGUCGGCCUGCGCGGAAGAUGUAACGGGGCUAAACCAUGCACCGAAGCUGCGGCAGCGACGCUUAUGCGUUGUUGGGUAGGGGAGCGUUCUGUAAGCCUGCGAAGGUGUGCUGUGAGGCAUGCUGGAGGUAUCAGAAGUGCGAAUGCUGACAUAAGUAACGAUAAAGCGGGUGAAAAGCCCGCUCGCCGGAAGACCAAGGGUUCCUGUCCAACGUUAAUCGGGGCAGGGUGAGUCGACCCCUAAGGCGAGGCCGAAAGGCGUAGUCGAUGGGAAACAGGUUAAUA